rnacentral:rRNA from 1 species
CACCGCGGUUAUACGAGAGGCCCAAGUUGAUAGACAACGGCGUAAAGAGUGGUUAAGGAAAAUAUUUAACUAAAGCGGAACGCCCUCAUAGCUGUUAUACGCUUCCGAGAGUAUGAACCCCGACUACGAAAGUGGCUUUACACUACCUGAACCCACGAAAGCUAAGAAACAAACUGGGAUUAGAUACCCCACUAUGCUUAGCCCUAAACAUUGAUUAUUCGCCACAUCGAACAUCCGCCUGGGAAUUACGAACACUAGUUUAAAACCCAAAGGACUUGGCGGUGCUUAACAUCCACCUAGAGGAGCCUGUUCUAGAACCGAUAACCCCCGUUAAACCUCACCCUCUCUAGUUUUCUCCCGCCUAUAUACCACCGUCGCCAGCUUACCCUGUGAAGGCCUAAUAGUAAGCACAAUUGGCACAGCCCAAAACGUCAGGUCGAGGUGUAGUGCAUGAGAGGGGAAGAAAUGGGCUACAUUCGCUGCCCGCCAGCGAAUACGAACGAUGCAUUGAAACAUGCAGCUGAAGGAGGAUUUAGCAGUAAGCAGAAAACAGAGCGUUCCGCUGAAACCGGCUCUUAAGCGCGCACACACCGCCCGUCACCCUCCCCGAGCACCUGGACCUAAAUUUUUUAAACCCUAACAAACGCGAAGGAGAGGAAAGUCGUAA